rnacentral:rRNA from 1 species
UACGUAGGGUGCAAGCGUUGUCCGGAAUUAUUGGGCGUAAAGAGCUCGUAGGCGGUUUGUCGCGUCUGCUGUGAAAACUCGGGGCUUAACCCCGGGCCUGCAGUGGGUACGGGCAGACUAGAGUGCGGUAGGGGAGACUGGAAUUCCUGGUGUAGCGGUGAAAUGCGCAGAUAUCGGGAGGAACACCCGUGGCGAAGGCGGGUCCCUGGGACGGUACUGACGCUGAGACGCGAAAGCGUGGGGAGCGAACAGG